AGCGAACGCUGGCGGCAGGCCUAACACAUGCAAGUCGAACGAAGUCUUCGGGCUUAGUGGCGGACGGGUGAGUAACACGUGGGAACGUGCCUUUAGGUUCGGAAUAACUCAGGGAAACUUGUGCUAAUCCCGAAUGUGCCCUUCGGGGGAAAGAUUUAUCGCCUUUAGAGCGUCCCGCGUCUGAUUAGCUAGUUGGUGAGGUAAAGGCUCACCAAGGCUACGAUCAGUAGCUGGUCUGAGAGGAUGACCAGACACAUUGGGACUGAGACACGGCCCAAACUCCUACGGGAGGCAGCAGUGGGGAAUCUUGCGCAAUGGGCGAAAGCCUGACGCAGCCAUGCCGCGUGGAUGAUGAAGGUCUUAGGAUUGUAAAAUCCUUUCACCGGUGAAGAUAAUGACUGUAGCCGGAGAAGAAGCCCCGGCUAACUUCGUGCCAGCAGCCGCAGUAACAC
rnacentral:rRNA from 1 species